rnacentral:rRNA from 1 species
UCUGGUUGAUCCUGCCAGUAGCAUACGCUAGUCUCAAAGAUUAAGCCAUGCAAGUCUAAGUACACACGGGUUGUACAGUGAAGCUGCGAAUGGCUCAUUAAAUCAGUUAUGGUUCCUUUGAUCGCUCCCAGUUACUUGGAUAACUGUGGGGUAAUUCUAGAGCUAAUACAUGCAAACCGAGCGCUGACCUCCGGGGAUGCGUGCAUUUUUAUCAGUCCCAAACCCACCUGGGGUGGCCUCCGGGCGCUUCAGACAGCUGGUGACUCUAGACAAAUUCCAGCCGAUCGUGCACCCUCCGAGGUGCCGAAGUCUCUUUCGAAUGUCUGCCCUAUCAACCUUUCGAUGGUAGUUUACAUGCCUACCAUGGUGGCAACGGGUAACGGGGAAUUAGGGUUCGAUUCCGGAGAGGGAGCCUGAGAAAUGGCUACCACAUCCAAGGAAGGCAGCAGGCGCNNNNNNGGCAGCAGGCGCGCAAAUUACCCACUCCCAAAACGGUGANNNNNNACNNNNNNNUGUUGGGAUUGAUGCCGGUGGUCCACCGCAAGGUCGGAUUCGCCUGUCCCAGCCCCUUCCUGGGGCGCUCCCUGGAUGCUCUUGACUGAGUGUCCUGUGGAGCCCAAAGCGUUUACUUUGAAAAAAAUAGAGUGUUCAAGGCAGGCCCAGUGUCUGAAUACCAAAGCUGGGAAUAAUGGAAAGGACUUCGGUUCUAUUUCGUGGGUUUGCUCCUGAGCCGGAGUCAUGAUUAAGAGGGAACGGCCGGGGGCAUCCGUAUUGUGCCGCUAGAGGGGUGAAAUUCUUGGACCGGUACAAGACGAACGAAAGCGAAAGCAUUUGCCAAGGAUGUUUUCAUUAAUCAAGGAACGAAAGUCGGGGGGUCCGAAGACGAUCAGAUACCGUCGUAGUUCCGACCAUAUAACCGAUGCCAACCAGCGAUCCGACAGCGUUAUUCCCAAUGACCUGUCUGGCAGCAACCGGGAAACCCAAUCUUUGGGUUUCCGGGGGGAGUAUGGUUGCAAGCUGAAACUUAAAGGAAUUGACGGAAGGGCACCACCAGGAGUGGAGCCUGCGGCUUAAUUUGACUCAACACGGGAAAUCUCACCCGGCCCGGACACGGAAAGGAUUGACAGAUUGAUAGCUCUUUCUCGAUUCUGGGGUGGUGGUGCAUGGCCGUUCUUAAGUUGGUGGAGCGAUUUGUCUGGUUAAUUCCGAUAACGAACGAGACUCAGUCCUACUAAAUAGAGUGCCGGCCCUCGAGCUGGUCGCGUGAACCUUCUUAGAGGGACAAGUGGCGUUCAGCCACUCGAGAUUGAGCAAUAACAGGUCUGUGAUGCCCUUAGAUGUCCGGGGCUGCACGCGCGCCACACUGAGUAGAUCAGUGUGUGCCUACCCUGGUGCCGAAAGGCAUGGGUAAUCCCAUGAACCCGGUUCGUGAUUGGGAUUGGGGAUUGCAAUUAUUCCCCAUGAACGAGGAAUUCCCAGUAAGUGCGGGUCAUAACCCCGCGUUGAUUAAGUCCCUGCCCUUUGUACACACCGCCCGUCGCUACUACCGAUUGGAUGGCUUAGUGAGGUCUCAGAUCGGCCCUGCCGGAGGCGUUCAUCGUCCCCGGUGGUGCGCUGAGAAGAUGAUCAAACUUGACUGUCUAGAGGAAGUAAAAGUCGUAACAAGNNNNNNNNAAGAAGGUGUCGGACG